ACUACUCCACAGUGUAAUAGGAAUUAACACAAAAGUAGAGCUGUCAUUGAUUUUUGUAUUGAUAUUAUCAUUCUGGUUUAAAUCAGGGAGAACACCUCCAGCACAGAAUUACAUAAAAUGUUUAACUGGGCUCUUGGAGACCGGUGCUUUAUAUUGUAAUUAGAUUGUACAAAAUGUUCUCUAAACAUUUACGUUCAAGUCAUUUAGCAGAUGCUCUUAUCCAGAGCAACUUACAGUAAGAACACUAGAAAUCAUGCAUACAGAAAGGGGAAAUGUAUAAAUAUGCUAAGCAUUGUGUUAACCACUCUUAAAGCUGCAGUAAAUAACUUUUUGGGGGACAUGACCAAAUUCAUAUAGAAAUGAGUUACAGAUCUGUCAUUGAAAGCAAGUCUUAAGAAGCAGUAGAUCGGUUCCAAGUGCGCAAUUUCUAUUCUUCCCGUUACGUUUCGAUUUAGCGUCUUUUGGUUUUGUACAUUGGCUUCAAACAGCAGAAAAUACAAUAUUUUUGGUAAUGGAAAAUAUAUUUCACAGCGGUUUCGAUGGUGCAAUGAUUCUCAACACUAUACUUGCUUAUUUUGUCACAAACUAUUAGAAUUUUAGCAGGCAGGAAAUGCUGGUCAUUUCUGCAUAGUGGGUCUUUAACUGAAUAUCAGCUAGGCUGGUUAUCUGUAGAGAAUUGUCAUAUUAACUAAGCUUUGUCUGUUCUAUAGAGUUAUUACUGACUCAGCCCCCAGGUACUAUUAUUAUUUGACUUAUAUUAGAGAUGUCUACCAAUACAGCACCAGAGACUCUUAAUAUAUUGAAGAGUAUCUGCUAAGACCUUUUUAUAUACCGGCGCUGUUGAGUGGAACAAAUGAUCACAUCAACUCAAAGCCCAUGUUGACCAUAACGUAGUUACAAAUAUAGAAUUUUAACCUGUAUUUAACUAGGCAAGUCAGUUAAGAACAAAUUCUUAUUUACAAUGACGGCCAAUGUGCGCCGCCCUAUGGGACUCAUUAAAAUAAAAAUAAAAACCGGUCUAAUCCAGUUCUGGGACCACACUGGAAAUAUUUUUGUGAUAUCCCUGUCACGUUUUUAAAAUGUUAAUUUUUUUUACUAGCAAAUACACUGAACAAAAAUAUAUAAACGCAACAAGAUUUUGCCGAGUUACAGUUCAUAUACGGAAAUCAGUCAAUUGAAAUAAAUUAAUUAGGCCCUAAUAUAUGGAUUUCACAUGACUGGGGAUAUACAGAUUUGCAUCUGUUGGUUACAGAUGCCUGGAUCAGAAAACCAGUCAGUAUCUGGGGUGACCACCAUUUGCCUCAUGCAGCACGACACAUCUCCUUCACAUAGAGUUGAUCGGGAUGUUGAUUCUGGCGUGUGGAAUGUUGUAGCACUCCUCUUCAAUGGCUGUACGAAGUUGCUGGAUAUUGGUGGGAACUAGAACAUGCUGUUGUACAUGUCGAUCCAGGGCAUCCCACACAUGCUCAAUGGGUGACAUGUCAGCUUAUGCCUGCCCAUAGCAUAACCCCACCACCACCAUCGGGCGCUCUGUCCAAUCAUUGACAUCUGCAAACCACAUGACGCCAUACACGGUCUGCCAUCUUCCUGGUACAGUUGAAACCGG